rnacentral:rRNA from 1 species
GACGAACGCUGGCGGCGUGCCUAAUACAUGCAAGUCGAACGAACUCUGGUAUUGAUUGGUGCUUGCAUCAUGAUUUACAUUUGAGUGAGUGGCGAACUGGUGAGUAACACGUGGGAAACCUGCCCAGAAGCGGGGGAUAACACCUGGAAACAGAUGCUAAUACCGCAUAACAACUUGGACCGCAUGGUCCGAGCUUGAAAGAUGGCUUCGGCUAUCACUUUUGGAUGGUCCCGCGGCGUAUUAGCUAGAUGGUGGGGUAACGGCUCACCAUGGCAAUGAUACGUAGCCGACCUGAGAGGGUAAUCGGCCACAUUGGGACUGAGACACGGCCCAAACUCCUACGGGAGGCAGCAGUAGGGAAUCUUCCACAAUGGACGAAAGUCUGAUGGAGCAACGCCGCGUGAGUGAAGAAGGGUUUCGGCUCGUAAAACUCUGUUGUUAAAGAAGAACAUAUCUGAGAGUAACUGUUCAGGUAUUGACGGUAUUUAACCAGAAAGCCACGGCUAACUACGUGCCAGCAGCCGCGGUAAUACGUAGGUGGCAAGCGUUGUCCGGAUUUAUUGGGCGUAAAGCGAGCGCAGGCGGUUUUUUAAGUCUGAUGUGAAAGCCUUCGGCUCAACCGAAGAAGUGCAUCGGAAACUGGGAAACUUGAGUGCAGAAGAGGACAGUGGAACUCCAUGUGUAGCGGUGAAAUGCGUAGAUAUAUGAAAGAACACCAGUGGCGAAGGCGGCUGUCUGGUCUGUAACUGACGCUGAGGCUCGAAAGUAUGGGUAGCAAACAGGAUUAGAUACCCUGGUAGUCCAUACCGUAAACGAUGAAUGCUAAGUGUUGGAGGGUUUCCGCCCUUCAGUGCUGCAGCUAACGCAUUAAGCAUUCCGCCUGGGGAGUACGGCCGCAAGGCUGAAACUCAAAGGAAUUGACGGGGGCCCGCACAAGCGGUGGAGCAUGUGGUUUAAUUCGAAGCUACGCGAAGAACCUUACCAGGUCUUGACAUACUAUGCAAAUCUAAGAGAUUAGACGUUCCCUUCGGGGACAUGGAUACAGGUGGUGCAUGGUUGUCGUCAGCUCGUGUCGUGAGAUGUUGGGUUAAGUCCCGCAACGAGCGCAACCCUUAUUAUCAGUUGCCAGCAUUAAGUUGGGCACUCUGGUGAGACUGCCGGUGACAAACCGGAGGAAGGUGGGGAUGACGUCAAAUCAUCAUGCCCCUUAUGACCUGGGCUACACACGUGCUACAAUGGAUGGUACAACGAGUUGCGAACUCGCGAGAGUAAGCUAAUCUCUUAAAGCCAUUCUCAGUUCGGAUUGUAGGCUGCAACUCGCCUACAUGAAGUCGGAAUCGCUAGUAAUCGCGGAUCAGCAUGCCGCGGUGAAUACGUUCCCGGGCCUUGUACACACCGCCCGUCACACCAUGAGAGUUUGUAACACCCAAAGUCGGUGGGGUAACCUUUUAGGAACCAGCCGCCUAAGGUGGGACAGAUGAUUAGGGUG